GGAAGUCGUUGGAGCAGUGGUUUCUGCCUUUUGGGGUCAGUUUUUUGGGCGCUCUCCCUCAAAUGUCACCCUCAAAAUUAGAAGCAAUCAGCCUAUCGCACAGCCGCACCCAUCUUCUGCCGUCGUCGGGCCUACCGGAGGCGCCGACAGCCAGCCAGCCAGCCAAAUCUGAGGUCCAAGGUCCCACUGUUUGGGGUAGGGCAGUCACCUAAAAUCUUGCAGCGGCGUCAGCGCCAGCACCGAAUUCGCGGCCAAUUCUCCAGGUUACAAGCUGGAAAUGUAUGGAGAUGUAAACAGAUAUAACCAUAACCAAUGCAAUCACAAUGAUCACUAAAGCGCCCUUGGCCAUAGCUCCCUAUCUACACCUGGUGAUUAGUGGUCGAUGCAAAUAGCUGCCUGAGCGUUCUUUUUGUUAAGUAGUUGGUUGCAGGGAUGAGUUGCAAUUCCAACCUAUCACCUGGAGAUGUUGCUGAUAGGCUAAAAGUGUAUCUCUCAGGCACGAGUAAAAGAGGCAGAUGACUACUUCAAUGAUGUCUCAAGACAGUUUGAAAAACAUUCAAAGCUUAUGGUGCUCUUUCAAGUUGCUAUGCCAAGAAGUUGAUGAAGAAAACUGAGGAACUUAUGCAGAGAAUGACAGCAUCUCGUUGUAACACAAAAGUUAUCAUACAUGAAAGUGCUUAACCUCUAAUUUGAGUUGUGAUAGACUAAGAGACUUAGAGAAGUUUAUGGAAGAAAUGGAAACAGAAGGCAUUUUGUUGCAGCAACUUUGAGUACUAUGUCUUGUUGAAAGCAUAUGCUACUGAUUAUUAUACUAAAGCCACAGGAAAACACUUGAAGAAAAUCGAGAUGGAGGCUCUAGUUCAUGCGGGAUACAACAUUUGUUUUUCAUGGCAGCAAAGGAAUGCUUAAGAGCUAGCCUGGUAAAAAAGUCUUCUGAGAUACUAAACAAGGCAGAGACACUCAAGGGGGGAGCAAAGUGUACGGUAUACAUUCAUGAACUUCUCCUUGGUAUGCAUUUGCAUUCGACUAGCAAGAACUAGAAUGAAGUCGUCAACUCUGGCAUUUGUGCAACAAGAGGGGCUAUGUAAGCAACUCAGAGCAUCAAGACAUGAUACGAUUUUCAAUCAGUUUGGAUGACAUUCAAGGAGCUGAAAACAUUUUCCAGGAAGGUGAAUCUGUGAAAACCCACCGCUUAUGACUCGGAUAUUUUUGAGGACAAGUUUAAUGCUUAUGCUAAAAUGAGAUUGCUGGGAGAGGCAGCAGCAGUGGUACGAAGCUGUGGUGAGUGGAAUGAAGGUUCCUGCGGAGGCAUGGGACCAACUAGCAUAUCUAUACUACAAAGAUAAUCAGAUGAAGAAGCCUGUUGAUGCAAUGACGAAGGCCUUUCUAUUGUGAAGGCAUUUGUUGGACAUUAAACCGCAUUAACAUGUAUUGCAUGUUUUGAGUAUUUAAAAGAAAAUGGAGAUGCAGAAGUUUACUGAUACUGAUGGGGAACGAUAUCAUGAUUGCCAAGGAAUUGGGUAGAUUUAAAAUUGUUACCUUAGUCCUAAAAAAGGAAAUAAAAGACUAGCUAUCUGUUAUUGUGUUUGUAUUUUUAUUCUAUCUUGGUUUUCAGACA